rnacentral:rRNA from 1 species
CGGGGGGCUGCUCCAGUGAGGAAUAUUGCACAAUGGGGGGAACCCUGAUGCAGCAACGCCGCGUGGAGGAUGACGCAUUUCGGUGUGUAAACUCCUUUUAUAUGUCAAGAAAAUGACGGUAGCAUAUGAAUAAGCACCGGCUAACUCCGUGCCAGCAGCCGCGGUAAUACGGAGGGUGCAAGCGUUACUCGGAAUCACUGGGCGUAAAGGACGCGUAGGCGGGUUGGAAAGUCAGGUGUGAAAUCCUACAGCUUAACUGUAGAACUGCACUUGAAACUUCUAAUCUAGAGUAUGGGAGGGGGAGAUGGAAUUAGUGGUGUAGGGGUAAAAUCCGUAGAUAUCACUAGGAAUACCUAAAGCGAAGGCGAUCUCCUGGAACAUUACUGACGCUAAGGCGUGAAAGCGUGGGGAGCAAACAGGAUUAGAUACCCGUGUAGUC